rnacentral:ncRNA from 1 species
GUGUUGUAUGAAAGGAAAGAAGGUUAGCACUUCCCUUGUCAAGGAUGGAAGAGGCCCUCGGGCCUGACAACACACAUACGGUUAAAGCAUUGCCACUAUUUCGUGGCAUCUAACCACUGUUUUUG